GGGUCCCAGGAGCCACACAGAGAGCCGGUGAAAUGGAGAAGGUUCCAGAGGGUAUUCCAUGCCAAAGGGAACCUGCAAAGCAGGUGGGCCGGGAGUACGCAGGUCCUUGUGUAGCAGAAAGCGAGUGAGGGGAGGAGGGAAGACAUGACAUGACACUGACUCGUUAAGAGGCUGGCACUGCCUGCCGCCUGCUAAUUUAUGCAAAUGAAGGUUGCUGACUCCUGGGAGCUGGGAUGUUGGGGGGUGGGUGCUGUCAGAGUUUGGCUGGCAGCCAACGGCGUGCAGUAAAAACGGUGCCGCUGCUGUGGUGGUGGUGACGGCUCGUAGGGCUUGAAAGUUUGGCAGAGCGCCGUGCCGGAACAGCGUACCCCGUUAGUUGCCUGGCAAGGCGGGCAGAGAAGCGACCAAUCAGGGGCACGCUGCCUCCUCUACCCUGGCCGAAUGGCAUCGCCCUCACAGCCCUCCCCUUGCUCGCGCUCCUCCUCUCCACCCCGUCGCUCCAGUUGCCCGGGAUGAUUUUAUAAACAUUUUGCCAGCCGAUCAAUAGCCGUAUUGAUCAGGCAUUGUGAGAGUGAUCCGUCUAAAACCCCCAGCAGCCUGAAGCUCUAAGAGAGGGAGGAGCGAGGGAAAGGGAGAGAGAGGCUGCAGAGAGGACGAGGAAAGGAGAGAGAGGCUGCAGCCACAGAAGAGAGAGGUAGAGGGGAGAGAAGGGGAGAUCUCACAGAGAGGCAGAAGGAGGCAGUGCUGAAGGUAAAGCAGUGUGGUGUGGACGUACAGAAGUGAGCAGGAGCAGCCAUUGGGACUGCGUUAACAUGCAUUCUAAUCGCUUUCUCGUUAAGUCGCGGAAGGGAGGGGUGCCUAAUGAGUCUCGCCGAAAAAAAAAUGGCUGUGGUUGACGGCGAUGGAGUCGUGUACCAUAAAAUUUACCUGAGAACGACUACACCCGAUGACUUCUCAUUCAUAAGGAGGCCUGUUAAAUAUCAGCGAUCACUUCCAAAGGAAUUCAUAAUUAGAAAACAUCAUCCCGAGAUCCAAUGCAUUUGAUAGCCUUGAGGAUAAUUGCAGGCCACUUUAAGGAUUUUGGUGCCUUAUCUUUGCAUAAACCCCAACUGUGCACCAAUGUAUCAUGGUGGAACGUUCAGAAAUUGGAUAUCAAUUAUUGGACAUGUAUCAGUCCCUCGCUGUUGGAGUACAGACACUUUCAACUUUCUACUGACUGAAUAUUUGUCUCACUUUUUGGACAAAAGUCUGGAUAAUAAACAGAAGAGCUGCGGGUCCUACAGUGGAGAACAAUGGAUGAGGCAAGGGCUGUUUAGAAAAUCAGGCCUGUCUUGCCACUCAGUCACAUGACACACCAGGGGGGAUCAGGCACAAGUGCCCAAGGGAGGCCUGUAUUGAUCCAGACCAAAGUGUAUUUCGGCGGCAUUGUGGUUUGUGCUCAACUGAUGUACUCAGGGCUGAUUGAGGAUCAGGCCUGGUCUGCAGGCCAUAAUGAAGAGAAGUAAUGCAGGAUGUCAGACCACUGAUCACCUAUCUGGCCCACAAUCUAAAACCAAGAGAAUGAAGCCAAGUCUUUUAUUUCUGUUGAAUACCUUUGUGUAAUGGAAAUGUUCAUUUUAACACACACAUUUAAGGUGUACACCUCUGGCAUGACAUCAUGCUGGCUGUAGUGCCCUGUGUUGCCAACUAGUAUCUGAAACAUGGGAUUAAACGAGACACAAUGACAUAAAGACCUAUAAUACAAAGUUGGAGACAACAUUGGAUUGUGAUCGUGAUCGAAACUUUGUUCACCCAAAACUUGUCAAUAAUUAAUCAAGUUGUUCAAAACUCAUAUGACUUUCUAGAAGGAUUAUCUUCCAGAAGGUCCAAGCUGUUUUUCUCCAGUCUACAAAAGUGACUGACCACCAUUGUUAGCCUUGGUCCCCAUCACUUUUACACUUUUAUUGUAUGGAGAAAAUCAGCUUGGAUGCUCUGCUAAAUAUCUCCUUUUGUGUUCAAUGCAAGAAAGAAAGUCAUACAGAUUUGAAUCAAAAUGAGGAUGGCCUUUAAUUUUUGGCUGAACUAUUUCUUUAAGUGGUUACACAGACACACUGCAGGUUAUUAGAGUGAUUACAUUAGCCGGGCCUGAUUCAUUGCAGUAGGUGCUAAAUUAGGGAAAUUGAGGUGUGCACUUCAUUUACACACACCUAGAAGUUCAUAUCUUAAAUUUAGACUCAAACUUAGGCUGUGGGUUUCAUCUUUCAAUGAUGGAUGUGCUACAGCAAAUCAAAUAUUUUAUUGUGCAAUUUUAAUGGUGGAUACAUAGUAUAUUUUCAAAAAAGAUUGAUAUGUAUACU